rnacentral:rRNA from 1 species
GUGAACGCUGGCGGUAGGCCUAACACAUGCAAGUCGAACGGCAGCACAGUAAGAGCUUGCUCUUACGGGUGGCGAGUGGCGGACGGGUGAGGAAUACAUCGGAAUCUACUUUUUCGUGGGGGAUAACGUAGGGAAACUUACGCUAAUACCGCAUACGACCUACGGGUGAAAGCAGGGGAUCUUCGGACCUUGCGCGAUUGAAUGAGCCGAUGUCGGAUUAGCUAGUUGGCGGGGUAAAGGCCCACCAAGGCGACGAUCCGUAGCUGGUCUGAGAGGAUGAUCAGCCACACGGGAACUGAGACACGGACCAGACUCCUACGGGAGGCAGCAGUGGGGAAUAUUGGACAAAGGGGGCAAGCCUGAUCCAGCCAUACCGCGUGGGUGAAGAAGGCCUUCGGGUUGUAAAGCCCUUUUGUUGGGAAAGAAAAGCAGCAGGUUAAUACCCCGCUGUUCUGACGGUACCCAAAGAAUAAGCACCGGCUAACUUCGUG